GAUCCUUAAUAAUUUUUAUUUUAUUUUGCGUCUGUUUUACCUACGAAUUUCUAUCUCUCUGUCUGUUUCCCUCUGAGAGCAGCUCGGAGAAGAGUCUAGAACCUCCAAUCUCUAUAUUUAUAUCUGUUUAACCCUUGAAGACUUUUCUUCUCGACUUGUAACGCGCUUCCUUACUUUGGUUUACUGAACUGAGAAUCGCACCAAAGCGAGGGAACACAAAUGGGGAGACCAAGGUGCUUCUUGGACAUUAGCAUAGGAGAUGAACUUGAAGGCAGGAUUGUGAUUGAGCUUUACAACGACGUCGCUCCCAAAACUGCUGAGAAUUUCAGGGCUCUUUGUACCGGUGAGAAGGGCAUUGGUCCCAACACUGGUGUGCCCCUCCAUUUCAAGGGGUCUUGCUUUCAUCGUGUUAUUAAAGGCUUUAUGAUCCAAGGAGGAGAUAUAUCCGCUGGAGAUGGUACUGGAGGAGAAUCUAUUUAUGGAUUAAAGUUUGAAGAUGAGAAUUUUGAGUUGAAGCAUGAAAGGAAAGGGAUGCUGUCUAUGGCCAAUGCUGGUCCUGACACAAACGGGUCUCAGUUUUUCAUAACUACAACCCGGACAUCGCAUCUUGAUGGCAAGCAUGUUGUAUUUGGGAAGGUAGUCAAAGGAAUGGGGGUGGUCCGAUCGAUUGAGCAUGUGACAACUGGUGACAACGACCGCCCCACUCUAGAUGUUAAAAUCGUGGAUUGUGGAGAAAUCCCUCAAGGAACAGAUGACGGAAUAUCCAACUUUUUCAAAGACGGUGAUACUUUUCCUGAUUGGCCAGCUGACCUUGAUGAGAGCCCUAGUGAACUUCAAUGGUGGAUGAAUGCUGUAGACUCCAUUAAAUCUUUUGGUAAUGAAUACUACAAGAAACAAGACUAUAAAAUGGCUCUCAGGAAGUAUCGGAAGGCUUUACGCUACCUGGAUACUUGCUGGGAGAAGGAAGGGAUUGAUGAAGAGUUGAGUUUAAGUUUGAGAAAAACGAAGUCUCAGGUUUUUACAAACAGCUCUGCUUGCAAACUAAAAUUGGGGGAUCUCAAAGGAGCAUUGCUAGAUACAGAAUUUGCUAUGCGUGACGGAGACAACAAUGUCAAGGCCUUGUUCCGUCAAGGACAGGCAUACAUGGCACUUAAUGAUGUUGAUGCCGCGGUUGAAAGCUUUAAGAAGGCAUUGGUAUUGGAGCCAAAUGACGCUGGAAUUAAAAAGGAAACUUGCUGCUGCCAGGAAGAAGAUUGCUGAGAGGCGUGAUCGGGAGAAAAAGGCAUACAGCAAGAUGUUCCAAUAACAUUUCUGCGAGGGAGACAAGCUAAUCACCACAGCGACACAAAUGUAAAAGAUUGAAAGAAGACAAAUGGAAUGGUUCUAUUAUAAAUGAUGAAAAAUUUUCAACCAACGAUUUUUGCAUUGUUUUACAGAGAACGCUAAGUCUCUAGAUAUAUUUUGUAAUCCUUUUGGAAACAUCUCGUGGUGAUUAUGUGGUGGACCGCCGAUUGUAAUGUCUCUGAUUUUGAUAAGUUUAUUGAUUUAUAUCUCUCGCUGG